GUUGUGAUCUUGAUAAUUUAAUUGAUUAAUUAAUUUAUAUUUAGGUUGAUUGCAAUAUGGAUCUGGUGUAGUCAUCUAGGUCAUCUUGGAUCUACUAAUAAUUCAUCACUUGCAUAAUCUUCUAUCAUAGACAUUAAAAAUAACAACAAAACAACAAUCAUUGGAUCCAAUCUCAUCUAUUGUUUAAAAACAUUCAAUUGUUUUUAUUUAAUUAAUUUUUAUUUAUCAAUUGUUGUUGUUAUUAUUAUGAUGUCUUGUUGAAAUUAAAAAUUUUUAUUGGGCAUGCGCAAAUGUACUUAGGGCCGCCAUGUUUGUUGUUGGUGUUGCAAAUGAGCCACUUGACGAAUUUGCGCGCUCCUUCCCCUGCCCCCUGCGGGGGUGUUUUCCACAGUUCGUCACGAAAAAAUAAAAAAAUCGUCAGUACUGCGCGUGAACUGAUUACGGAAGGACGUACGUUUUUUUUAAUUUUAUGUUUUUGCUUGUGUUGGUGUAUUAUUUUGAGUAUUAUUUUGUGAAUUUGGAGCAAUUUGAAGUGAUCCUGCUUCCUGAAUCCUGUUAUUUUUAUGGAUAAUUCAAUCAAGGACAAACUGACGUUAAUCUAGAUACUAAAAAACUUUCAUCAUCAACUGCAGCAAAGUUGCGUCAAGAGAGGGUCUCACGUCACGUCUCGAGGAUAACAGCACAACGUCACGAACUUACAACGGCAUUCAACCUUAUCCAUCCACUUGUAAACUUCACCAUAUAUACAUACAUAAUAUGAAUUUCUACAAUAUCAAUUUAGAAUCUUCAUCAUCAACUGCAGUAAGGACUGCCGGGGAUCUCUAGUUUAGCUGCUGCACCUGCGCUGUGCGUUUCACCAACGAUUCCAGAUUUCAC